GAUGAACGCUAGCGGCAGGCUUAAUACAUGCAAGUCGAACGGCAGCGGGUCCAGCAAUGGAUGCCGGCGAGUGGCGCACGGGUGCGUAACACGUAUGCAACCUACCUUUAACCGGGACAUAACCUCGAGAAAUCGUGGCUAAUAUUCCAUAAUAUCUUUAAAUCGCAUGGUUUGAAGAUCAAAAUUCCGAUGGUUUUAGAUGGGCAUGCGCGACAUUAGCUAGUUGGUGAGGUAAUGGCUCACCAAGGCUACGAUGUUUAGGGGGUCUGAGAGGAUGAUCCCCCACACUGGUACUGAGACCAGGACCAGACUCCUACGGGAGGCAGCAGUAAGGAAUAUUGGGCAAUGGGCGCAAGCCUGACCCAGCCAUGCCGCGUGCAGGAUGACAGCCCUACGGGUUGUAAACUGCUUUUAUACGGGAAAAAACCCUCUGACGUGUCAGAGGCUGAUGGUACCGUAAGAAUAAGCAUCGGCUAACUCCGUGCCAGCCGCCGCAGUAACAC
rnacentral:rRNA from 1 species